AGAGUUUGAUCAUGGCUCAGGACGAACGCUGGCGGCGUGCUUAACACAUGCAAGUCGAACGCUGAAGCCCGGUGCUUGCACUGGGUGGAUGAGUGGCGAACGGGUGAGUAACACGUGAGUAACCUGCCCCGGACUCUGGGAUAAGCGCUGGAAACGGCGUCUAAUACUGGAUAUGCACCAUGGCCGCAUGGCCUGUGGUGGGAAAGAUUUAUCGGUUCGGGAUGGACUCGCGGCCUAUCAGCUAGAUGGUGAGGUAAAGGCCCACCUAGGCGACGAUCUGUAGCGGGUCUGAGAGGAUGAUCCGCCACACUGGGACUGAGACACGGCCCAGACUCCUACGGGAGGCAGCAGUGGGGAAUUUUGGACAAUGGGGGCAACCCUGAUCCAGCCAUGCCGCGUGAGUGAAGAAGGCCUUCGGGUUGUAAAGCUCUUUCGGCCGGGAAGAAAUCGCGCUCUUUAAUAGAGGGUGUGGAUGACGGUACCGGACUAAGAAGCACCGGCUAACUACGUGCCAGCAGCCGCGGUAAUA
rnacentral:rRNA from 1 species